rnacentral:sRNA from 1 species
AGGGUUGUGAGCAUUCCUAUGACCUCGUGUGAAUCAUUACAGAUAGACUAAAGACCACCUCAAGAAAGUAAAUUACGAUCCAAGAACAUCUAUUAAAGAUCGAAUGCCUGUGCCCGGCUCUUGGUACCGUGCCAGCGCAGGCACCGAGACCUUAGUCCCCUCCUUGACCACGUUUGUUUCCUGGCCAUCCAUUGAAGAGGCUUUCUUAGCCACAAGCUUCUCCUGAGAUGGGGCAUUUGGAACGCUGGUGAUCAUUGUUUGGAGUACUGUGCACUUCCACUUUACUCACCACUGAAGCCUCAGCUUAUUUCCCUACGAUGGCUGAUAAACACCCUUGGAGAAGCACAAGAGCAUGUCUGUCAUUCACGUAGCCCAUCCUCUGCAUUGGGACAUUUAAAUACUUUUCAUUUUAGUCUGUUAUAAAUCAUUUUAAUUUUGCUAUUGCAGUUAGUUGCACUUGUAUGUAGUAGAUGAAUGUCCUUGGGCCUGUAGCUUUUGGUAGCUGCAUUCACACCAGCCCCUGAAAGCGGAGGGCACAGGCUCACACUUCCUGCUCUGCCUCACACAGCCCCGGUGCCGUCUAAAACACAGGUUCAUUGCGCAAGCUGUGAUGACUCCAUCCAGCCAUGAUUAGGUGUGUUAUUUCAUUGAAAAAUUGUUUAAAGAAAAGGUUUUAAAACACUAUCUACUAUCUUGGGGUUUUUUCCAAAGCCAGAAUACCCAGAAUAUCAUUUAUAUUUGAGUUUCAUUUUUCUCUACUGGUGUGAGACCAUAGGAGGAUCUUGUUAGCAUUAUCAAGAAUGUAAUCUUGGGACAUUGGUUUGAGUCAUCUCUGUAACAUCAGGAGGAUACCUUUCCUGGCAGGAGCAGUCAGAAACAUUCAUGGCUGGCCAUUCCAGCCCUUCUAAUAAUAUUCUAGGAUUACUCCUUCCUGCUGCCUUGAAGAUAGGUGUGAAUCAGGUAGUUUUCUCUGGCCAAUGAAGAGUGGCUCUUUUUGUAGAAGACAAAGCUAUUUUAGGAGUCGCCAUAUUCCUUUUGUCCUCAUCCAUAGUCCCAUGUCCUUUCAGCCUGGAUCCUUAGAAAGCUCUGUGAGGAAAGCAUGAACCAAAAUCCCAAAGUGGCUUAGGGGAGGUGUAUGGAUAGGGUAAGAAGUAGAUGCUCUAAGCCACCAAAACAGAGAUGCUAUGCAACCGGGCCUGACUGCCAACACCACGCCAGCACUGAAAGGCUAGUAGUGCCCAGAGCCUGAGUACAGGGACAUUUUAAUAUCAGAGACUUGCAGUGCCUCUCAGAGUAGGUGUUUUUCACAACAAGCAAAGAGUUGUGUGGUAUUUUUUUUAUGUAGCAUCCAUUCAACUCUGAGCAACAAAGUAGGUGACGACAUGGUGCCAUCUGCCAGCUCAAAUUAUUUUUGUCAUCAUAGAUUAAAAAUUCUGUUUUAAUAUUCAGCAGGGAAAUGACUUAAUGCUGGUUGGCUUCUGGGCAAAUUUUUUAAAAAUUGCUUCUCUUUUGCAGCAGACCCAUAAAAACUAAUAAAAGAAAGAUCUAACAUUUAUGGAUCAUUCAUUUUAUGUCAGGGUCUCUGCCAAGCGUCUUACCGGCAUAGUCUCCAGUAUUUCUCCUCAAAAGUUGACCAUGUCAGUAGCAAGCUAUUCCAGGUUUCAGGUGAAGACAAUGACGCUUGGCUGCUUCAUUCUGUUGCUGUGAAAAAUACCAUGCAGCUUAGAGGAAGAACAAACUCAUUUGGAUUACACUGCCAGCCUACAAUCCAUCCCUGAGGAAGUGGAGGCAGGAGCCCAAGUAGGAACCUGAGGUAGAAACCAGACAGAAAUGGCCUUGCUGGCUCACUCUCGGCCUCAUAUUUAAGGUGGUUGUGUGAAUGAGAGGUCCACCAUAGUCUCAGGAAUUUGAAUGCUUGAUCAUCCCUCCUCCAGAAAUGCUAUGAACUUUUAAAGCCUCCUGCCACCCUCUGCUGCUUGUGAUUUGAGAGGUGAUCUCUCAGCUCCCAUUCCAGUCACCAUGCUUUCCCGUUGUCGUGUCUCCACCACAAUGGUGACACACUCCUAUCUCUCUGGAAGUGUAAGCCCCAAGUAAACUCAUCCUUCUGCAAGGUGUCAGGGCCAUGGUGUAAACCAAGAUAGAAAAGUGACUAAUACACUGAGGUAGCUUUCUUACAUGGUCCAGGGCCAUCUGCCCAGGGAAUUAAUGCUACUCACAGUAGGCUGCUCCUUUUUAUGUCAAUUAGCAAUCAAGGCGAUCUCUAUUCAAACAUUUUCACAGGCCAAUCAAACCUAGACAGUUCUUCAGUUGAGACUCAUUUCUUAGUAACUCUGGGUUCUCUGUUAAGAUGGCAGUUAUAGCUAGCUAGGAGAGAUGCCCUGGCUCUUCUCUGGCUCUCUCUGUCUAGGAGUUUAUAUUGGUCCAUUUGGAUUCUGCUGGGCUGACAUCCUUUACUGACAUUGUCUUUCUCACUCACUCGCCUUUGCCGUAAUUGGCAUCAAGAUUUUCAUCUCAUGUAGGAUUUUGUCAAACCUACUACUGCCUAACAAAUACCAUUCAGAUACUAAAAACAAGGAUCAGUGAAAUUGACCUUUGCCCCUGAGAAGCCACCAGUAGAGCAGUGCUGGUCCACAAAUCAAUGUGAGCCACAGUGCAAGGCACCUGGGAGAUGAAUAUAUUGUGUCAAAAGUGAUGGGGGAAUAAAUUUUAAACACUUCAUCAAUACAGCAAAUCAAAAAUGUUAUCACUUAAAGAUUGAA